AUUGAACGCUGGCGGCAGGCCUAACACAUGCAGGUCGAACGGUAACAGGGAUCAGCUUGCUGAUUCGCUGACGAGUGGCGGACGGGUGAGUAAUGUCUGGGAAACUGCCUGAUGGAGGGGGAUAACUACUGGAAACGGUAGCUAAUACCGCAUAACGUCGCAAGACCAAAGAGGGGGACCUUCGGGCCUCUUGCCAUCGGAUGUGCCCAGAUGGGAUUAGCUAGUAGGUGGGGUAACGGCUCACCUAGGCGACGAUCCCUAGCUGGUCUGAGAGGAUGACCAGCCACACUGGAACUGAGACACGGUCCAGACUCCUACGGGAGGCAGCAGUGGGGAAUAUUGCACAAUGGGCGCAAGCCUGAUGCAGCCAUGCCGCGUGUAUGAAGAAGGCCUUCGGGUUGUAAAGUACUUUCAGCGGGGAGGAAGGGAGUAAAGUUAAUACCUUUGCUCAUUGACGUUACCCGCAGAAGAAGCACCGGCUAACCCCGUG
rnacentral:rRNA from 1 species